UUUCCGUAGGUGAACCUGCGGAAGGAUCAUUAUUGUAUAACCGAGGUGCGAGGGCUGUCGCUGAACCGAAAGGUCGUGCACGCCCGAGUGCCCUCAAACACAUCCAUCUCACCCCUAUGUGCACCACCGCGUGGGUCCCCCUUUGGCUUGUUCGGAGGGGGGCUUACGUUUUCACACAAACUUUGUAUGCAGUGUAGAAUGUAUUUUUUGUUUUUGCGAUCACGCAAUCAAUACAACUUUCAACAACGGAUCUCUUGGCUCUC
rnacentral:misc_RNA from 1 species